AGGAGAGGCUGCGCGGCUCUCGGCGGCGGACGUCCUCGGCUGGCCCAGCGGCUGCUCAUCAUCUGUGCGGCAUCGACUCCGGUCCCUCUGGCCCGUGUAAACUGUCGGUGGCCGACGUGACUUCGGACAAGCAACAGCAGGACAAAUGCAGCACCUUCUGACACUGCUGACCAUGGCAGCGGUCGCCGCUGCAGUCGCUGCCAAGCCUGGUUCUUGGGUAUGGCCAUCUAGCGAUGCAGAACGCUUUGCCAGCUUCUCACCUCGCUCGCUAGGUGGCCAAGCCGUCCGCAGCAGUCUGGGUCGCGCGAAUACCAGGUCCCGAGGGCGUCCUAUCAUCGCAUCUGACCGCGGGCCCGUUCGUGUUAACCCUGGAGGAACGGAAGGCCGAUCCAUUUCCAGCCGGCCGGUCCAGCCAGGUGCGCCCAGAGCGACACCAUCGGAGCAGCUCUCGCGCUUCGUGCUGCCUAAAGGAGACGUCGAGCGGCGGUGCCCUCUGAUCUCGAGCGAAGCCUGCCCGCCGCGACCUGCCGACCUUUCGACCUUGCGCGCGUGCGGUAACGACUCGGCAUGCCCCCGGGGCUCGCGGUGCUGCUACCACCCGUGUCUGACGCUGAGCCUGUGUCUGGCCCCGGAUGGUCGCGUCGUGGAGGGGUUGGCUCAAGGGCCGGACGGAAGUAUCGGGAGCGUGAGCCGGCCCGUGGUCGCGUGAGAAAUGUGAGCAAUCUUUCGAUACAUACAUAUAUAUAUGCGUGUGCGUGUGUGCGUGUGUGUGUGCGUGUGUGUGUGCGUGUGUAUGUGUGCGCGUGUGUGCGUGUGCGCGUGUGCGCGUAUGUGUGUGUGUGUGUGCGCGUGUGUGUCUACACCACCUGUCAAGUUGGCUCUCAGCGUGAGUCGCCCCGCGGCCGUUCCUUCGACGUGACAACAUGUGAUAUAAUGCAUUGGCAACGUGGAUUGGUGCAUACUGGGCCAUUGUUUCCAUCUUCAAAUAGAUAAAGUGGGUAGAUAAAUGAACGGAUGCAAAUAAAAGGAGGUGUCUAUUUUUCUUUGGCUCUAUAGCUGUUAAGCGUUGUUAACGUAAGCAAGCCCCAAAACCACGCCAAAGUUAGCAUACACAAUAUCCGCGGUGCGCCGGUUUUGCACGCUUGUUCGUCUGCAAACCUGCUCAUGGGUCAGGUGCUGCCUGUGAGAGAAAUAAAUGAACAGGAUGUGUGAACUGACUGAA